GUAAACACAGGAGCUCAUCCAAGGCUGCAGAUGAGCUGGGAGGGGCUGGGGAGUUCCUGUGCCCCCAGGGAACCCUGCCUGACAACAAGCCCAUUCAUCCAAAGGGGGUCUCUGCCUUUGGGAGUCCUGGUCUAAGAACAUAAGCAGGACAGCCUCUGUGGUGGAUUUAGCAGGGGAUGCAGGAGACCCCUCCCACAGCCCACCCCCAACCAGCAUGCUCACGUCCCCUGUCCCGCCUAGAAUCCUUAUAGAUGCAGCUCCCAGGGGAAGGAGAACAAGGAGAAACCAUCAUCCAUUGUGGCUGCCAGGAGCCACCACCACCUCUCAGGCGCUUCCUCACCCGACCUUGGGGUCCAGAGAGAGGACAUGCCAGUCUCCCCACUCCCACAGUCUCACAGUAGCAGCUGCAGGGACAGCCAGGCUGCUCUGGGAUGGGGGCUGAAGGUGGGUCCUCACUGCUAGCACCAGGUUCAGCUCCUGUCUCAGGGUUAGGCUCCAGCUCAACCCCUGGGGCUGCUCCCUGGCUUCUGAGAAGCUGCCGUCAGGCGGAUUCCAUCUCUCAAGGCUCUUUGGAGGAAAACAUUCCAACUAGGAAUGACAGGGAUCUGCUCAUGAGGAAACUGAGCCUCCCCACGACAACUGAGAGAUGAAGAGAGACCACCGGACAGUGCUCUCACUCACCCAAAGAAACCACAAAGAUGUACACAGAAAUGACAACACCCGACACCAUGGAGAAGCAGACCCUAGGGCCUCAGCCCGCAGCAUCCCAUCCCAGUGCCUCCCCUUCCGGUGAAGAUCUCCUGUUGAACAGACCAGACACCCCCCCUGCUCCAGUGUUCCAGUGGGAUGCACGCCCACGCCCACCCUGCCAGCAAGUGGACUGUCAACAACCCAAGGCCAGCAACACUAUCCUUGCUUAGGCCUGAGCCACAGAAGCUGCCCAGGGACUAUCCAUGGCCUCCCCGUGGCCAACUUGAGCCUGCCCUGCAGAUUCAGGCCUGACUUGGGAGGCCCUCAGGCUUCAGGUGAGUGGGGGCCAGGGGACCCUGGGGGCCUGAGCACAGCUGGGAGGAGCAACUCUUUGGUUUCCCAGGGGUGAGCAUGUAAGUACCUGGGCCGUGCUAUGGGGCAGACAUGUCCACAUGGAGACACAUCUGUGGACCUAGUGUUAUGACAGCAGAGGCUUGUAACCAUGAGGCCAGCAGGGACAGAAAGCCCAUGCCUUUAGCUCCUUGGGAGCCUUGGGAGUCCUCCUUGACUGGAACAGAGCCUGCCAGUCCCAGGUGCCCCCAUCGUCCUCCCUUCACCUUUCUGAGAGGCAAGAAAGCCAGGCAGCCAUGCUUCUGCUGCAAGGGGAGGGGGCUGCCCAGCCAGCUGCCAUGGGAGCCUCCAGCAACUCAGCCGGGUGUCAGGGGGUGUUUAUGAGCAGCCGAAAUGGCUGUAAAAGUGGCACCUCACUUCACUUAUGGCCUGGCUAUACCCUCCCCUACUGGCCUCCUGCCUCAAAAAGCUUCCAGAGGGGCCUGGAAGCCGAGAAAGGUCUGGGGUUGAGGUCUGGGUGGAGACACAGCCUGGGGUCAGAGUUCAGCCACGGGGAAGAAAUCGGAUUAGGAUAAGAAUUCAGCCCUAGGUUGGGGUUCAUCAUGGAAACAGAGCUCAGUCCAGGAUCAGGGCUAAGCAUGGGAUGCAGACUUAUUUUGGGGCUAGUGCUGGGAUAAAGCAUUGGGGGAAUAUAAAGUCUCAGAAAUAGAUGUGAGCCAUUAGUCCCAGAGAACCCCUGGGUCAGCAAGGGGUUUUCUAAGAGAGGCCAGGCUGCAUUGCUCAGAGAGCCGAGCCUCUGCCUUUCCUGUUGGUGUCUGAUGCCCACCCUGGCCCCAGGGUCUGUGUACCUUGGCGGAAGCCCUACUCACAGUGGGAUGGCUACAGCAGAGGCCUGUCAGCCUGGGGUUGCCACACCAGCAGGGGUGGGGCCAGAGUCCAGCUCUUAGUGCAGUUCUGAGAUCCAGCAACCACCCUGGCUCUUCCUCAUAGGUCCCAACCUGGGGAUCAGAGACAGGGACUCACUCCUACUCCCCACCCCAAGCCAGGCCUUUUCAAAUUCCAUUGAAACUGACCUGACACUAACCAGAAACUGACUCUGGGCCCCUGGGGCCUGCUUGUCAAAAAGGGCAGGCUGAUUUUGCCAGGUGCUUAGGUGCUACCAGUUAAUGUGUGACACCAAUACCCUCACCCUCAUGGUGGCACUUUAACCAGAGGCCUGAGGGUGAGGGAGAGGAUCUAUGGCCCCACCCACAGCUGUGGAAUGUCCAGCAGGGGACUCUGGGGUGAGGCACAUGAAUUAUGGCAAGGGGAAUGCCCUUAAGAGGCCCAGCGCCCAUCAGAGUCCUCUCUGCAGCCCUCUACACAGCCCACCCUGGUCCUGCCAAGUACAAAUAUUAUGUUUCCAAAUCUCAAGUUUUCCCUGGUGUCAGAUCUGAAAAGAACUCCUCCCCAUCAGCCCCUAGUUUUACCUCUCAGUCCUUCCACUCCCUCCAUUAAUGUUCUUUUCUCAUCACCAAGACGGAAAGCAGGGUGGGAGGUCAGCUGUCAUAGAAACAUAAAACGUACAGACACCUAGAAACAGAGGCAUAGGCCAGGUGCAGUGGCUCAUGCCUGUAAUCCCAGCACUUUGGGAGGCCAAGGCAGGAGGACUGCUUGAGCCCAAGAGUUGGAGACCAGCCUGGGCAACAAAGUGAGACAUCGUCUCUACAAAAAAAAUUUUUUAAUUACCUAGGUGUGGUGGCUCAUGCCUGUGGUCCCAGCUACAUAGGAGGCUGAGGUGGGAGGAUUGCUUGAGCCCAGGAGGUCGAAGCUGCUUUGAGCCAUGAUUGUGCCACUGCACUCCAGCCUGGGCAACAGAGCAAGACCCUGUCUGGGGGCAAAAAAAAAAGGCUGGGUAUGGUGGCUCAUGCCUGUAAUCCCAACACUUUGGGAGGCUGAGGCAGGUGGCUCACUUGAGGCCAAGAGUUUGAAACCAGCCUGGUGAGCAUGGAGAAACCUCGUCUCUACUAAAAAUACAAAAAUUAGCUGGGCGUGGUGGUGCACACCUGCAAUCCCAGCUACUCAGGAGGCUGAGGCCAGAAAAUUGCUUGAACCCAGAAGGCAGAGGUUGCAAGUGAGCUGAGAUCGUGCCACUGCACUCCAGCCUAGGCAACAGCCCUGUCUCAAAAAAAAGAAAAGAAACGGAGGCACAAUAAAGCUGAGACCAUUAAAAUAUAACUGAAGAAGCACAAGUGUUCUUUAGGUCCCCAUUCUGGCACCUGGGCCUCUGUCCCAAGGAGCCCACAUACCAUAGGAGGCAGCCCUGAAAUUACAACUUCCUCCCCAGUAAUGGAGGAUGUGGGCACACAAGAGAGAGGGGAAUGUCCUUUACACCAAGCAGAGGAGUGUGAUCCUAGCAGAGGAAACAGCAAGGGCAAAGGCAGGAGAGUGGAUGUGUGGAGAAGGCCAGGAGUCUAGCAGGCAGUUCCUGUUGGGGAGAGUCAUUUUUGGAGGAAACUCUCAAAUAGCACAGCCCUUGAACACCAGGACAAGAAACGAGGGCAGUGGGCACAGAGAAGGAAUACAGCCACAGAAAUGUGUGGGAAGGGCCUGAUCCAGUGGUUCACACCUGUAAUGCCAGCACUUUGGGAGGCUGAGGCAGGUGGAUCGCUUGAGAUCAGGGGAUUGUGACCAGCCUGGCCAAUAUGGCAAAACCCUGUCUCUACCAAGAAAUGCAAAAAUUAGCCAGGUUGGUGAUGCAUGCCUGUAGUCCCAGCUACUUGGGAGGCUGAGGUGGGAGAAUCACUUGAUUCUGGAAAGCGGAGGUUGCAGUGAGUGGAAGUUGAAGUGAGCAGAGAUCAUGCCGCUGCAUUCCAGCCUGGGUGACAAAGUGAGACUCUGUCUUGAAGAUGAAGAAGAAGAAGAGGAAGAGGAGGAAGGAGAAGAAGAAAUGCAUGGGGAAAGUACCUAGCUAGGGGUGCAGUCUGGAAGCUGGAUAGGCUUGAGCCAGGAGAAGGGUGGCAACAUCUGGAUCCUAAACCUUAGGGCCUGGGCUUGGCAGAUUCACACUGAGGGUUGGAGGGCAGGUCUGCAGGCUCUGAGGAGCUCAGUGUCCACAGGCUGAGUCUGGAGAGCCCCUGGAGCCCAUGGGCCAGGACGCCCAACCUCGUGGAUACUAAACAGGAAAGUUAACAUUGCCUUUGAAUCAGCUGGCCAAACUCUCCAUUUUGCAGAUGAGGAAACUAAGAUCCAGACAGCUGAAGAGUGGUAGUGUCCGAGACACAAGAUUGGUGAGCAGGCAAGCACAGGCUGCUGCUUAGCCCAAACGAUAUUUCCCAGGUCCUCAAGCAUUGGCUUCCUCCCCCAUCCUUAAAGCCCUCCA